rnacentral:rRNA from 1 species
UACGUAGGGGGCAAGCGUUGUCCGGAUUUAUUGGGCGUAAAGAGCGUGUAGGCGGCCAGACAGGUCAGCUGUGAAAACUCGAGGCUCAACCUCGAGACGUCGGUUGAAACCGUCUGGCUAGAGUCCGGAAGAGGAGAGUGGAAUUCCCGGUGUAGCGGUGAAAUGCGCAGAUAUCGGGGAAGAACACCCGUGGCGAAGGCGGCUCUCUGGGACGGUACGUGACGCUGAGACGCGAAAGCGUGGGGAUCAAACAGGG